rnacentral:rRNA from 1 species
UGUCUUUUGCGUACCGUAUGUUUCCUCGGCGGGCUUGCCUGCCGGUUGGACAUUAUCAAACCUUUUUGUAGUUGCAAUCAGCGUCAGAAAACAAAUAAUAAUUACAACUUUCAACAACGGAUCUCUUGGUUCUGGCAUCGAUGAAGAACGCAGCGAAAUGCGAAAAGUAGUGUGAAUUGCAGAAUUCAGUGAAUCAUCGAAUCUUUGAACGCACAUUGCGCCCCUUGGUAUUCCAUGGGGCAUGCCUGUUCGAGCGUCAUUUUGUACCCUCAAGCACUGCUUGGUGUUGGGCGUUUGUCCUGCAAAGGACUCGCCUGAAAGCGAUUGGCGGCCAACGUACUGGUGGUAGAGCGCAGCACAAUUUGCGUCUCUCCCCUCUGCGUCGGCGUCCAUGAAGCCUUUUUUCAACGUUUGACCUCGGAUCAGGUAGGGAUACCCGCUGAACUUAAGCAUAUC